GCCUGCAACAUAGUAUUAAUGCAUCGGAUCUCAUUAGAACUACAUAGUUAAGCGCGCUCGGGCUAGAGUAGUACUAGGAUGAGUGACCUCCUGGGAAGUACUAGUGUUUUACAUGCC
rnacentral:rRNA from 1 species